CUGCAGCCUCUGGUUAGUCAACAACUCUCAGGGGAUUCUGAGAUGUGGUGUCCUUGAUCACAGGCAAGGUCCCACUGCAAGUCACAUCGAUCCAUCCGUCACUUACUUGUUUGCUAAAAGAGGCGAAAUCAGGUUCUCCCCGGGUGUCCAGCUGAUGAAAGGAGAUCCUGUCAACAUGUCAAUGUGAUGGCCGAAAAACCGCUGGCUCCGAUUCUUGAGGCCUGACAUUAGGCCUCAGGCUUCAAUGGUGCGAGGUCUGGACUUCACCCUCCCUGCUCCUCCAGUUGCCAUUGUCCAACAUCGUCCCCGGCGUCCCUUCGCACCACUACCUGCACUGUCACUUCCGCACCCACUGCCUCCGAGAUGGUCAAGGCUGCACAGGACCUGCAGUCCCCUGUGACGCUGAACAUGGACUGACAGCGUCCUGGCUCCAACUCGACCAAUGGGGUCCUGCCUCAUCUUCCAUGGAAUGGGGAUGAAGUUACACGGGACCCCGCAGAAGAACAUCAGGAGAAGACGCAAAGGAACUCUGGAUCCCAAACUGGAUGUGCCCAUCCAAACCAAUUGGAUAAUAAUACUGCAAAAGAACCUUGGUGGUAGGUUAAAGAUUAAAGUGGUGCUGGAAAAGCACCCGAGGAGCAGAAAAUCAACAUUUUGGGCAAAAGCCCUUCAUCAGGAAUGAUGUUAGGUUGUCUAUCUCCACCACCCGUCUUGUAGAUAGGGCAUUGUGAACAACAGCAGGCCCGAGGAGGAGAGAACAAAAUAUUUUGAUGUUAAUAA